UCUCGUGGAUGAGCAAAGAAAAUGGUUUCUUAAAACGGAAUCUACUUCUGCUGAAGAUGCAGUGAA
rnacentral:pre_miRNA from 1 species